UCUUUGCGGAGGCCUACCUGCAGUCGAGCGGCAGCACGGGUACUUGUACCUGGGGGUGGCGGUGAUGGAUGAGUAAUGACUACAUAAUCUGCCUGGUUGGGGGGAUAAAGCUCGGAAACGGACGCUAAUACCGCAUACGUCCUACGGGAGAAAGAAGGGGACCUACGGGCCUUGCGCUAUCAAAUGAGCCUAGGUCGGAUUAACUAGUUGGUGAGGUAAUGGCUCACCCAGGCGACGAUCCAUCCCUGGUCUGAGAGGAUGAACAAUCACACUGGAACUGAGACACAGUCCAGACUCCUACGGGAGGCAGGAGUGGGGAAUAUUGGACAAUGGGCGAAAGCCUGAUCCAUCCAUGCCGCGUGUGUGAAGAAGGACUGCGGAUUGUAAAGCACUUUAAUUUGGGAGGAAGGAAAGUUACCUAAUACGUAAUUGUUUUGACGUAACCGACAGAAUAAACACCCACUAACUCUGUGCCAGCAGCCGCGGUAAUACAGAGGGUGCAAGCGUUAAUCGGAAUUACUUACUGUAAAGCGCGCGUAGGUGGUUCGUUAAGUUGGAUGUGAAAUCCCCGGGCUCAACCUGGGAACUGCAUUCAAAACUGUCUGGCUAACUUAUGUGAGAGGGUGGUGGAAUUUCCUG
rnacentral:rRNA from 1 species